rnacentral:lncRNA from 1 species
GCAGGCUCUCCAACGCUGACACGCGCCCCGGGUGGAGCCGCGAACGCUGUCGCCAUUUUCCCCUGGGCCCGGGCUCCCACUAGGUGUGUUCUAGAACAGAUACAGGUUGCUAGCACCGUCCACUAGCUGUUCCCAACAUCGGUUACAAAUCUCCGCGAGGGACAAAAACAUCUGUUCAGUCAGAGACUGGGGAAGUCAAGACUGCGGGUGCCGCACUGCGGGGAUGCACAAAUCCGGAGCUGAGUCAGAGAGAGCCCCUUGCCCCCUCCCGCUGCGGUCGGCGGUGGCAAAAGAUUUUCGAGAUAGCAGGUAGUACAUGCACAUGGAGAAAAGAAAUUCAAGCAGGACAAGAGUGCACAAGCAAGAAGACCCAGACAGAGAAGUUUCCCGAGUCAUCCACAUCGCUGACGAUUUCUGACUUGGUGGUUUCUCAUCGCACCUCCUCAGCACUUCGCCCGGCGGUUUCCGGGGAGAACGGCGGCCUUCCCUGCCGGGUUCUAGGCGAGCGUAACCAGCUCUUUGUGACUUCCGAAGUGAGGCUUCCUGGUAUCAAACACUCAUUAUUGACUACCUUGAGAUCUAAUAUGGUUGGAGGUAUAUGGAGGGGGGCUCAUUUUUCUUUUCAUUUCCCGAUUCCAUUCACAGUUAACGUUACCGACGGUUAAUAAAAUGUAGCUUGUGACUGUAAUAUGGGGACGGAGAGGUCCCAAUAAAUGUCAAAAGAUAUAAGACAAAAAAGUAUCUUGCGACUGUACGCGGGACUGCAUUGCUCCCAGUUUUGGCUAUAGAUGCACUAAAAGAACCUGUUAACACACACCAAAGUGCAUCCUUAUAAUAACCUCCUCAAUCAUUUAUUAAAAGUCGU